AACGAACGCUGGCGGCAGGCUUAACACAUGCAAGUCGAACGGGCGUAGCAAUACGUCAGUGGCAGACGGGUGAGUAACGCGUGGGAACAUACCCUUUGGUUCGGAAUAACUCAGGGAAACUUGAGCUAAUACCGGAUAAGUCCGAGAGGAGAAAGAUUUAUCGCCGAAGGAAUGGCCCGCGUCUGAUUAGCUAGUUGGUGAGGUAACGGCUCACCAAGGCGACGAUCAGUAGCUGGACUGAGAGGAUGAUCAGCCACACUGGGACUGAGACACGGCCCAGACUCCUACGGGAGGCAGCAGUGGGGAAUAUUGGACAAUGGGGGCAACCCUGAUCCAGCCAUGCCGCGUGAGUGAUGAAGGCCUUAGAGUUGUAAAGCUCUUUUGUCCGGGAAGUUAAUGACUGUACCGGAAGAAUAAGCCCCGGCUAACUUCGUGCCAGCCGCCGCAGUAA
rnacentral:rRNA from 1 species